UUUUAUUUAUGUGCCGCAAAAGCUUUAAAUGCGUCAGCAGCAGCAGCAGCAGCAGGAAGCAGCAGCAUGACUACAAGGACACAAGGCACAAGCUGAGGACACACAGCAAUUUCAGCAACAAUAAUAAAUAUCGCGAGUCAACCGCAGCCAGAGCAGCAACAACAGCAGCAGCAAAAAAUGUAAGCAAAACACACACACACACACACACAUAUGGAGGAGCAGUCUGUCUGCUGCAGGACAAUAUAUGGUGGGUUUUCUCGCACUAUAUGGAGCAUGGAGCAUUUGCUCGCUGGUCGCUGGUCGCUGGUCGCUCACUAAGUGCUACACGCUGCAGCAGCCACUUGAACUCCACCCCACCACCCACCACCCACCGAGCUGAGCAGUCAGCAGUCUGCUGCCCAUUGCGCUUACUCUGAGCGCAUUGACCAGAACUCCACCAUGUUCUACUCCAGCGCCUGGCUAAGCACAACUGCGUCAACUGAGUAACUGCAUCGCAUUCUGGAGAGCAGCGACAACAGCAAAGAUCGCAUAGUAGUCGAGGACUCUGAACUCUCAGCGCAUUGCAGCAGCAGAGCUCAACUAACAAUAGUCAAACAGCAACAACAACUGUUA